UUGAAAGGGAAACGAUUGAAGUCAGUCGUACCUGUGGGUAAUCAGCCUUUUGGGUGUGAUUUUGUGGAGUGUGAGGAGUUAAACGCCUUCAUGCCUGCAUAUUCGUGCACUUUGGGUGUAUUUACCCGUGUGGUAAGUUAACAUCAAUUUCGGUGGUCAUAAAAUGGCUGGAGGAAUGUAGCUUCGAUCUCGUAUUGAAGUGUUAUAGCCUUCGGUAGAUGUGAUGAUCGGGAUUGAGGAUUGCAACGGAUACCCCUCGGGGCUACCUGUCUGAUCUCUGAUCGUUGCUCUGGUGCCGAAAGCUUGCUUACGGUUAUCAAAGUCGAUGGUCAAUAGGUUAGAAUGGGUUAAAUUCGUUAAGGAUGUUGACGUA
rnacentral:rRNA from 1 species